GGGUCGUUAGCUCAGUUGGUAGAGCAGCGGACUCUUAAUCCGUUGGUCGAAGGUUCGAAUCCUUCACGGCCCA
rnacentral:tRNA from 1 species